rnacentral:tRNA from 1 species
UUUAUUGUGGCUCAUGGUAAAGCACUUGCCUAGCAUGCAUGAGGUCCUGGGUUUAAUUCCCAGCACUGAAA